GAACGCUGGCGGUGCGCCUUAUGCAUGCAAGUCGAGCGAAGCUUUUCAGUAGUUUACUACAGAAAAUGACUGAGCGGCGAACGGGUGAGUAACGCGUGAGCAACCUACCUUAGUUACUGGGAUAGCCCGAGGAAACUCGGAUUAAUACCGGAUAUUCUUAUUUAAUCACAUGAUUUUUUAAGGAAAGGUCAGCCGAACUAAGAUGGGCUCGCGUUCUAUCAGCUAGUUGGUAGGGUAAUGGCCUACCAAGGCUACGACGGAUAGCUGGUCUGAGAGGACGAUCAGCCACACUGGGACUGAGACACGGCCCAGACUCCUACGGGAGGCUGCAGCAGGGAAUAUUGCGCAAUGAGCGAAAGCUUGACGCAGCGACACCGCGUGUGGGAUGACGGAUCUAGGUUUGUAAACCACUUUCAGGAGGGAAGAAAAUGACGGUACCUCCACAAGAAGCCCCGGCC
rnacentral:rRNA from 1 species